CCCUUAGACGCUCUGGGCGGCACGCGCGCUACAAUGGGUGGUAGAACGUGUAACUGCUCCCGAAAGGGAGGGUGAACCACGAAUACUUACCCGUGAAUGGGAUAGUUUGUUGCAAUUUUCGGACUUGAACUAGGAAUCCCUUGUAAGAAUGCUCAAGAAUAGCGUGCUGAAUACGUCCCUGCCGUUUGUACACACCGCCCGUCGUUUCUUCCGACUGAUACUCAUUGUGAGUUGCAAGGAUUCUUAUUGAAAAAUUGCUGCGAAUGCUUUGUAUUGGAGGAAGAAAAAGUCGUAACA
rnacentral:rRNA from 1 species